AUGACAACAGAACCCACAACAACCAUGACUUUUAUCACCAUCUUCAUCUGGACACUUGCUUUCUGGAUUCAAGAAUCCAGAGGACAGUACACUGUGACUCAGACUCCUGCWGUGAAAGCUGUUCUCCCAGGACAGCCAGUCUCUCUGAACUGUAAAACCAGCAGUAAUGUGKAUGGCGCAGGAGGCUCUUAUCCCCYUCUAGCCUGGUAUCAACAGAAACCUGGAGGAGCUCCUAAACUCCUUAUUUACUAUGCUAAAACACUUCAGUCUGGGACUCCAUCUAGAUUCAGUGGCAGUGGAACUCAUAGUGACUUCACUCUGACCAUCAGUGGAGUCCAGGCUGAAGAUGCAGGAGAUUACUACUGUCAGAGUUACCACAGUGGUGGAGUGUUCACACAGUGAUACAGAGCCGUACAAAAACCUCCCUCAGUCAGACUGCACAGUGACUGUACUGCUACAGCUGGGACCUACUGCAGGUGCU